GUUCCUUUGUGCCCAGUGCCUCUGCCACACUCUAUGUGAGCUGCAGACCAAUCCUGUGCCUUCCCCCACUCUUCCUGCAGCUGCCCUGGGGCCUGGUUUCCACCAGCAGUGACAGCCAGGCCUCUGCCCGCCCUCCCUGGGCAGUUCCCUGGUGCUGAUGGAGCCAGCCCAGAGUUGCCAGGGAGGUGUGCCAGCUCAACUAGAAAGACAACUGUCGCAUACACUGGGAUGAUAUCAGACAGGAAGGCGCUGGGAGAGACUUGGGACACUGAGGCUGAGAGAAGAUGCUCCUGGCUUGGUGAGACCCAGAGCCAACAUGGCCUCAGCCUGCUCAGCUCCAGUCCUGAGAGCAGCUCACCAGGUGCCGUGUCCUAAGACCCAGGAGAGAAGCUCCCUGCCUGGGAAAGCAGAGGAGGAUGGCCCAAAGCUUUGGGACUCUGCACCCAUGUAGGAGACCUGGAAGAAGCUCCUGACUCCUGGCUUCAGAUGGGCUCAGCUCUGACUAUUGCAGCUACUUG